UGAUUUCCUAUUACAUCAGUUUCAUGAUUCAGCAUUUUCCAUUUCAUUUAUUUACAGUAAUAUAUGGCGAGAUAACCCAAGGUUUCUGCAGGAUUUUGGAACAUAAGGUACGCUGGGCAGGAAGGGUGUCGCCUUCUGUAAAUUUACUAUUGUUUGGGAGAACUCAAAACAGAAGCAAGCAAGCCAUCAAAGGAACUGAGAAAAUUUCUCCCCACCUUGUUCUGAGGGCUCUCAACUACUCUGGUAUUUAAAAUAAAUUGGUUUUGAAAAAUAGGUUACUGCCCUUUAGUUGAUGACUAAAACAAAAGCCAAGAAGUGUGCAAAUUGCAAACUGACAUGCAUGAGCCAAACAUAUUCUCUGAAAUGACAAUGUUCAAGACGCAGCUAAAGUCACCGCUCUGGCGAUAAGCGUGUUACAGAGAACUAGAUUUCUUUCCGGCAUCCGCAACUUGGCUGGAGUGACCAAGGAGGAGUUGAAGAGCGCUGGAGAUGCGAGAGGCCCCAGGAUUCCAGAGGUAGGCAGAAUGGCUCUAUUUCUACAAGGAGCAUCGGGCAUGCAGAAAACCUGCCAGAGUUUGGUCUUCUAAGAGGAUCCACUGAACCCAGGAACAUGACCCCCAUCCCUGUCCACCGCAGAGUUCAAAGAUGAGCAGAGCACCAGCCCCAUCGUCAGUGAGCGGCUGUGAGGACACCAACCAGCACCGGCUGACUCUGCUGAUUGUCUGUAACAUGCUUGUCCCUCUUAAUCAAAGUGAUGUCAUCCUCUGAUUUCAGAAAGUGAAGGAUAGCAAAAUUAAUGUUGGCUCAAGUGGGCUUCUAAUGGCCGUGGGCUGCCGAGGGGCUGCAGGCCUGCAGGCCUGCUGCAUUUCAAUGAUGUGCACUGGGAUUUCUUCGCUAACAAGGGUGCCAUAAGUCUUAAUUACCCAGAACCAAGGCCUCACCUUGCUGUGUGUCCCCCGGGAGCUCCCUGUGAAGUCAGUGGGAGCUUUGCCUGCGGUUCAGCCCAGUGAAAACUUGCCUGUAAAUGUUUGCAAAUUACCUCGUGCACCUCUGAAGGAAACAGGAGGGAAUUAUUUAUUUUUAGAAGGUUGGUGCAGCCGUGCCCCUGCCUCGCCUGUCACAUACCUCUGUGUUACUCAAAUCCCACUCCCUUCCCUCUGAUUAAUUCUGAACUGUGGGUCUCUUUUCUUUAUGGUUGAUGGAUACACUUCCUAGGUCUUGCCCUCAGUCAAACUGCUGGUAAUGUCCUGUUGCUCUUUCUCCUUCCUUAGGGGGCUCUCUCGAGAAAGCCUAAUGCAUUUUCCAUUAGAGGAACUGAUUUGUCCUUUCCUUUCCAGCAAUGGAAAGCAAUCUCCCCCAUGUGGAGGAUGUCAAGAGCCCCUAAAUGGCUAUUCCUUCUCUCUUCAGCUCUUCCUGCCUGGACUGAGGCACCCACGCCCCGCUGCUGUGAAUACUGCCCGUUAACAACACAUCUGUUCCCUUCUCCUGAGACUCGCCCUGGGAGAAAAGCACCACUCACCUGGAAGAGCCGGGGAGGUUUGCCUUCCCGCUGGGGCCAGCACAAAGGCUGGCCCUCUUGCCUCGCUCAAGAGGGCAAUCUGUGUCCCCAUACACGCCCCAAAGCUCCCACAGGAGCAGGCUGAGGCCAAACCUCCUCUGAGCCUGUCCUGUUUGCGUUUUCCUCACACCCUUACAGGUUUCACUUGAAAGCACUCCCUUAAGAAAUUGCUUGCCCAAGGAGCCCCGUUUCUGGCUCAGCGUAUUGGCAACCCAAUAUAAGCCGCCUCGCUAAGCCAUCCUUCCCACUGCAAGCAGAAUAGUCUUUUCAAACUGCAGCCUGAUCAUGCCACUUCCUUUCUUAAGCCUUCAAUGCCUUCCAUUGUCCAAACUCCGGAGCUUGGAUCUUAAUCCCCCGAGACCUGGCUCUCCUUCCAUCUUCACCCUCACCACCCAGAGAGGUCACUUCCUCCAGAGAUGCCUAGCCAGACCCCCUACCAUAAAUACUAUCAUAUUGAGACUGCCCGCUUGCUUUUCUUUCUUCUCCUCUAGACUGCAAACUCCUCUGGAAUUCCAGAAACCUACUAUGCAUGUAGCACAUAUGAGACCUUCAGUAAUUAUUUGUUGAUUAACAAAAUUGAACUGAUGAAUGACUGAACUAGAUACUUCAUACAUGUUUAAUAAUAACAGCCAAAUGCCAACUUCAAGUUAAUAUUAUAUCAACAUUUGCCUCCUUGUGAUUUAUAUAAAGUUCUCGUAAGUAGCAGAAUUCACUGGGAAUGUAUUAAAAUAAUUACAUGUUUUAACACAUACAUAUAUGCAGGUUGAUUAGGGUGUCCAGUACAAUCGAUGUACAGAUGUUCUCUGAUGUUUCAGGUUUUCGUUUCUUUUGGACACUUAGUUUGUCAAUCAAAGCCUUCCCAACCCCCACUGACCAACCUCUGACUUUCAGCAAUUCUCUGUCGAAUAUUAAAUACCUUUGCCUUCUCUUUGCAUGUCCCCAACAACAACAACAACAACAAACAAAUAAACAAAAAACCUGCAAUUUCAAGUGCCAGAAUAGCUCUUCUUAUCGGAGAAAGAAAGCCUUGAACAUCAGUGAACCAUACUUAAAAUCUGCCAUUUCGCUGCUGACUUUUCAGAAAAGUAUUACCCUGCAAAGAAGCUGCUCUUGGAUGCAAGCCUCAUGAUUGCCAGAGUCAUCGAAUGUUCGGACUUGCCCAGUUCUCACUUUGGAAUUGGGCAUAUCAGCCAGUAGAGUGCAUUAAUUCUUGGCAUGACCAUAGACUGAAACACAAGCAGCAUUAACAAAUUACCAGUGAUAGAUAUGCAAAUGGGCCAAGGACAAAUAUUAAAACAGCCCUAUCUCGCUUUGCCGCUACCUCGUCCUGUCCAAAAUUCGUAGAAUUAUUACUCCUCCUGGAAUGCUUAGUAGUGCGUAUAGGGUAAUAUUCUUGAGGAAGCUAAUAAUUAUCUCUUGUUAGCAAGAUCAGCUUACUACAGUCUUUCACUGCAGGGACAGAAAAAUAUUGUGACUUUGUUAUGCUAAAUGAAACACAGUGGCAGGAUAAAUUAGGACAUUUAAACUAAUAAUAAUAAUAACGUCGCACAGCUAUAGUUCACCUCUACAUAUAAUUGAUAAAAUUAACAGAAAACAGGCACGGUGACAAUAGAAGAAUAUGCAUUAUGAAUGAUUGAUUGAGACACAAAGGGACAAACUUCUUCUGUUGCUUAUGUUAUUAUAGCUAAUAUUUAUUACGCACCCACUGUGCAAGGCAUAACUCUUAUCAAGGACAAUGAUAAUAAUAAAUUGCUACCUGUCAACCAUAGUAACUUCAUUAUGUAACCAGGCAGCACUCUUAUUAAGGCUUUGGAAUCUACUAAAAGUUUCAUUUUGAAACAAUGAACCAAGAGGAACAAAUUUGUGAAUUGUGGAUCUGUAAUAUUAACCCAAAGACUGAGCCUUGGAGAGAAACGAAAUUCUAAAGAAAAAAAUUAAUUUCUGCCAAAGAAAAUCUAAGAACAUAAGUUAGCCAGCCCUACCAGCUGCCUCUGACUGUGCUGUAACAGAGAUGAGGCAAAUAUCUAAUUUCGUGGAAAAAAUUUAUAGACUAGACUUUGAAUCAGGCAGAGUCCAACAAGCCUUCCCUGCCCAGUUUUCAAUCAAAUGGUGUAAUAAACAGCAAUGUCCUCACAUGUCCAAGAUCCCCCUCUCUGAUCUCUGGAUAUCACCUUCCCUGAUAUAUCCAGACAUAACUCACCCACUGCAUUUGCUAGUUUAAUUUGCUUAGUGGAUGUGGUAGACUGUUUACAAAGUUGGCUGUAGUAAAUCCUCACAUCAGGUCUGAACAUCUCUUUGCAACGUGACUUCAUACUACUUCCCAUCAAGUGAUGGAAUCUAUUUCUCCUUGCCUUGAAUCUAGGAAGGCUUUGCAACUUGCUGUAAGCAAAAGAAUACAACGGAAGUGAUAUUUUGGCAACUUCCAAGCCUAGUCCUUAAGACACCUUGCAGCUUUCACUUCUAUCAUCUUAAAACACAGGGCCACCAGGUAAGGAAGCCACAGCUAACUAUCUUGAAGAUGAGAACCCGCAUGGAGACAGGUGGCCCAGCCAAUAGCCAGUACCAACUGCCAGACACAUUGGCCAUCCUGAACGAUGGUUCCAGUUACACUACUAGGUGACAGUAGCUGCAUAAGUUACUCCAAAAGAGACCAAGCAGAAGAACCACCCCAUUGAGCCCAAUAUAAAUUGCUGACCCUCAGAAUCGUGAACAAAUAAAAUAGUUAUAAUUUGAAACCA